rnacentral:lncRNA from 1 species
GAAAAAGAAUAAAUAAGUUCAAGUAAAACUAUGUAAGCUUUCUACUCUUCUGCAUUCUCCAUGACAGAGAGGACUGAAAAGAUUCAUGUCUCCCAAAGGCUCCCUAUUUUGCCUCAAUGUGGGAUUGACUUGAUGACAGUGUGGAGAGUGUAAUGUGGCAUUAACAUGAAAAUGGAGACUGUUACGUUUACUGCCUUCAGUGUGGUCUGAAGCAAUAUACAAAUGUUUCCAUGUGAAAGCACACCAACAGUUUUGAUGAGCUACAGUCAAGUGUAUGUCAUUCCACAUUGUGCUGGGUCUGGCUGCCUUUUAUAUUAUGCUCUGCUUUUGACAGCAACUGGAUAUGAAAUUUGGGUCUUCAUUGAGCUGUGA